AACGAACGCUGGCGGCAUGCCUAACACAUGCAAGUCGAACGAGACCUUCGGGUCUAGUGGCGCACGGGUGCGUAACGCGUGGGAACCUGCCCUUAGGUUCGGAAUAACUCCCCGAAAGGGGUGCUAAUACCGGAUAAUGUCUUCGGACCAAAGAUUUAUCGCCUUUGGUUGGGCCCGCGUUGGAUUAGCUAGUUGGUAGGGUAAAAGCCUACCAAGGCGACGAUCCAUAGCUGGUCGGAGAGGAUGAUCAGCCACACUGGGACUGAGACACGGCCCAGACUCCUACGGGAGGCGGCAGUAAUGAAUAUUGGACAAUGGGCGAAAGCCUGAUCCAGCAAUGCCGCGUGAGUGAUGAAGGCCUUAGGGUUGUAAAGCUCUUUUACCCGGGAUGAUAAUGACAGUACCGGGAGAAUAAGCUCCGGCUAACUCCGUG
rnacentral:rRNA from 1 species